AACGCACCUUGCGCUCCUUGGUAUUCCGAGGAGCAUGCCUGUUUGAGUGUCUUGAAGUCAUCAACCCCCCCACGUUUUUCUUGCGGGGGUGGGUUGGAUUCUGGGGUCUGUGCUGCUGUAAGAGGUGGCUCCCCUCAAAUGCAUCGGUUGGGCCUGUGGGUCAAACUCGACUGGGCGUUGUACCAUCCUCGCUCGACCGAGAUCCCCUCUGAGCCUCGACCUCGACCUGCCUGUGGAGUGGCGGUCAAACCUUUUGAAAUCUGACCUCAAAUCAGGUAGGACUACCCGCUGAACUUAA
rnacentral:misc_RNA from 1 species